GAAGACAUGAAGGUAGGGCAGSAAACCCGCUGAAUUUAAGCAUAUAAGUAAGCGGAGGAAAAGAAMCUAAMUAGGMUUCCCUCAGUAAUSGCGAAUGAACRGGGAUGAGCYCRGUAUGRAAAUUGGGGCCUSUGGCCKUGAAUUGUAGYCUGGAGMUGUACCWCCAACUGGGGSGCAGAUGUAAGCCUCUUGGAAAAGAGCAUCAAUGAGGGUGAGAGUCCSGCUUGGCAUCWGCAGUCCCCAGUGCACGGUGURCCUUCUAACAGUCACGUUCCUCGGGAUUGGAGCGCAAAUCGGSUGGUAAGUKUCAUCUAAAGCUAAAUAYUGUUUCGAGACCGAUAGCAAACAAGUACCAUGAGGGAAAGGUGAAAAGGACUUUGGAAAGAGAGUUAAAAGUGCCUGAAAUUGCUGAAAGGGAAGCGAAUGGAWCCAGCGUAACUUGGCGAGAUUGCUGCGUGUCAAUGUGAUUGCUUGCUGCUUCAACGUGAGUGUGGUAGUAAGUCUUGMWCAAGACAUGCRCGGUGCUUCUUGCCUUGUUUGUCACCGUCAGUUCGCAGCUGGGGAAAACUUCAAGGACAUGGUAGCCUGUCUCCGGGCGGGUGAACGUGUUUGCUKGAACUCACUUGUGGAUUGCUUGGUGACUAAAUG
rnacentral:rRNA from 1 species